rnacentral:rRNA from 1 species
UGGGGAAUCUUGCACAAUGGGCGAAAGCCUGAUGCAGCAACGCCGCGUGGGGGAUGACUGCCCUCGGGUUGUAAACCCCUUUCAGCAGGGACGAAACUGACGGUACCUGCAGAAGAAGCCCCGGCCAACUACGUGCCAGCAGCCGCGGUAAGACGUAGGGGGCAAGCGUUGUCCGGAUUUAUUGGGCGUAAAGAGCUCGUAGGCGGCUUGGCAAGUCGGAUGUGAAACCUCCAGGCUUAACCUGGAGACGCCAUUCGAUACUGCUAUGGCUUGAGUUCGGUAGGGGCGCAUGGAAUACCCGGUGUAGCGGUGAAAUGCUUAGAUAUCGGGUGGAACACCAGUGGCGAAGGCGGUGCGCUGGGCCGAAACUGACGCUGAGGAGCGAAAGCGUGGGUAGCAAA